GUUGUUUAUCUACAGGAAAAUUUGGAUAGAGAUCUACAUGCAUGCUUCCUCUUCUUUACUUGCGCAAGAUACACCUUGGCAUUACAUACUCUGACAUCAAAUAGUAGCAAACGGAUAAUAUUCCUUGAAAGAGAGUGAAUGUGGACUAUGAAACAGACCAAAUGAACGGUAGAAUAAAUAAAAUUUGUUUACCACAGAGAGGUAGUGUUUCCAUUAAGUAAACACUGGCUUCUAUUAUAUAAAGCAUGUCAAAACACCUUAAAAUAAAUAACUUGAAACUUACAAAAAGUUGUUGGCCAAAGGAUAUAAAAGCUCGCUCACCUUGUCAUUGCAGUUCCCAUAGAUGUUAGUGUGACUUUUUCUUGCUCGAUGGAUGCGUCUUCAAGCUAAAUUCUUGGCUGCAGGUAAAUAUGAAAUACCCAGAAACAAAGGAUUCCUACAGACAGAAGCUAGAAUUUUUGUUAUUUUCUUUCCCAUAGGAAGAAGAUGAUUUUUUUUUUUGUGUGUGCUAGAAAGCCAACUCCUACGUGUUUCUUUAAGCAUCGAAAUCAAUGUAAUCUCAUGCCUCCUACUGGAAGAUGAAGCCUUUUUUUUUAACUAGAAAGGGGACUCAAAAGUGUAGUGUUUCUUCAAGCAUCAAAACCAGUGUAAAUCUGAUUCCUACCUAAAAGAGGGUCAGUAUGCUGAAACAACGAAACAUUCUAAUCUGAGUAGCCGCAGGGACUCGGGUUAGUUUCAGAGACAGUAUCAGAAACCCUAAUCGGAGAGUUAGGGAUCGAUGGAAGAUCCUGGUUCGCCCCCAAAUCGGGGGGACAAUAUUGCUCGCGAAACGUGAUGGAUUUACUUGAGAGAAAGAGAAGGAAUGAAAGCGUACCAUUGAGAUCGAUAGCCGAGAGCGACAGAGAGUAUCGAGAGAUCACGUUGAAUAGAAUGCGAAUGGAGAUCGGAAUUCUUUCAAAUUCGUGAGGUCCGAAGCCCCUUUU
rnacentral:lncRNA from 1 species